rnacentral:rRNA from 1 species
AACGAACGCUGGCGGCAGGCCUAAAACAUGCAAGUCGAACGAACCUUCGGGUUAGUGGCGCACGGGUGCGUAACGCGUGGGAAUAUACCUCUGGGUGCGGAACAACGUCUGGAAACGGACGCUAAUACCGCAUAAUAUCUACGGAUCAAAGAUUUAUCGCCCAGAGAUUAGCCCGCGUCUGAUUAGCUAGUUGGUGAGGUAAUGGCUCACCAAGGCGACGAUCAGUAGCUGGUCUGAGAGGAUGAUCAGCCACACUGGAACUGAGACACGGUCCAGACUCCUACGGGAGGCAGCAGUUGGGAAUAUUGGACAAUGGGGGAAACCCUGAUCCAGCCAUGCCGCGUGAGUGAAGAAGGCCUUAGGGUUGUAAAGCUCUUUCGGCUGUGAAGAUAAUGACAGUAGCAGAAGAAGAAGCUCCGGCUAAAUUCGUGCCAGCCGCCGCCGUAA